rnacentral:lncRNA from 1 species
UUUUUUUUUUUUUUGAACAGUUGUAUUGAGUUUCAUAGCAGGGAAAGCUGUUUUGUUGCCAAAUGGUUGUUACCAUGAUUUCUACUGAAAGAAGGAUUUUGGAGGGGAGAGCGAGUCCAAAUGUGCUGUUUAUUUCAGAGUUGUGUGGUAUCUUUUAAUGCACAAUGUUGUUAGUAGUCUGGGUAAAUGCUGCUGCUUUAGCUGACAGGAAAAACUGACAUAAACCAUGAUGUAUUCUGAACUGGGGUUUGUAACUGUUAGAAACAGCAGUCAGACAUCAUCGACUAGCUUUGUAUUGUAAGGCCUAUUGAACUGACAAGCAUAAAUUAACAGGAGACAUCUCUUAGCUCACAUGCAAGUAACUGGUUGUAUGAAGUGUAGUUUAGGCAUUAUACCCUCCAAAUUCUGUCUUCUCUUACCCACACAUGGCUGCUUAUUUCUAGUGCUGCAUACCUGCUCUUAACAUUCUUAAUCCACAGGCACUAAUUCUACCUAAAGGAUAUUCUAAAAUGGUAUGCACAUGUGUUAUAUCCUUGACAUGCUUUUUCCCAAAGUUUGCUGGAACUUGGUAGCUGGUGGAGCAAGGAUUGCCUUUGGGUUUGGGCUCAUGUUGCCUUUAGCAAUUGUUGACAUAAUUCAUGUUGCUAAUGUUUUGUAGCUUUAAUUAGGGUGGUUUUUUUUUGGAAGGCAUCCACAUGGUGCACUUGGAGGGUGGAGUGAGAGCUCAUAGUAUUGAACUGCAGCUGGUUUUGUGGUUUAGAAGGAAGUUAUUGCUCCAGUGAACUAAUAAGGAUGGCACCAUGUUUUUGAAGGCAGCAGUAGCAAAGUCUUUGCUGUCUUCAGAUGAUGGCAAGUCUUAUUGAAGGAUCCCAGCAUGAGCAGUUCCAUGCAUUUCUGGACUUGUUUCAUGUUAUCCCUGAAAUGCAUGCUUGUAGCAAGAACCUGAGGUUGCUACAAACCAUACUUUUGGUUCAUCUAGGGCAAACACUGUUAGACCCUCCUACUUUUAAAAGUCACAGAAGUGGUGGAGUUUACCAGGUGUUACAUACGGUUUGCAAUUAAUUAAGUGGAGGUGAGAGAAAAUGCUUUAUGCAAUGGAAGCAUUUAUAUGGAUUACUUUAGUAUUGUUCAUGAACACUAAAUCAGUCUCCUGUUUCAAAUUAUGAUUAAGUAUAGUUUUGCUUUCUUUCUGUUGGACUAAUAAGUCUUUUUAUGAAUAAGCACCUUAGGUUGUAUUGUUUUAGGGCACCUUUGUAAGUUUAUGCCAAUGUAAAUUCUUUGUAUAUUGUGGUAAAAGUGACCUUAAUCUGAUUAACCUAGGUGUCCACACUUGUUUUCUGUGGGAGAGAAUCUUUCUGAGAUACUUGUUCUUCUAAAUACUUACCCAUAAUUAUUUUGGUUGCAAUCAUUUGCUUAUUUGUCUUGAUUCAAUUUCUUUUAUCUUUUAAUGUAAAAGUCUUCUCUCUUGACUAUAUAUUUAAUUUGUGGCUUGCUCUGGGUAAGUUAAUACAGCCUCAGUUUGGCCUUAUUACUUCAAGUUCUAGUCUACCCUCUUUGAAGGUAAUUAAUAUAAAUUCUUGUGGUAUGUUCUGUGUAGUUUCACUUCUAGAUACACAGUUGCCUUUCAUUGUCUUCAGCGCUAUUCUGCUUGUAUACUGCAGUAAAACGUGUGUUUCAGGGUUUGUUUUUUUUUUCUGUGAAGAUGAGUGUGUUGUGCUACUGCUAUACUUUCCCUGCUUAACAUACUAUUCUUUUUAAUUUUCAAAUUGCUUUCUUCCAAAUUUCAAACCUUUCACUAAUUUCUUGAUCAGUAUCAGAGGUAAAUAAACUGCCACACCCUAGAAUUGUCCUCUGUCUCUGAAGAAAAAUGCCCCCAGCACAGCCCACAGGCUGGUGUAUAGUAUGUCCUGCUGUUUUGCUGCCAUUAUAGGCAGGUCUCUAGGGAGCUAAUGCCCUUUAAUUUCAGCAAGAUCCUGCCAUGUGCCCACUUCUAUCAGUCAGACUGACAUACCACACAGGUAUUUCCCAUCUCAGGGAUGAAUAAAUAAGAUCAUAUUUGAUAUUUGUGGAUAAAUAUUUGGCCUCCACUCUUCCCUGAAACUUGCAGGUGUCAUAAUUUAGGAGAACUCAUGGUUACUGGCUGUGAAAGGCUGGACAGAGCUCCUGCCAGAGCCAUGAAAAUCUUCUCUUUUGUCAGCCAGCAGAUUGGCUGUUGAGCAAUUUGAGACCCUCCCUUCCCACAGAGGCCGAGUAUUUUGUUACUGCAGGGCUUCCAGGCACUCCUGCAUGGAGGAGAGAAAGCAUGGUGGUAUAGGAAGGACUGCAGAACUUGGCUGGCAAGGCAGAGCUUGAUGAGCAUUGAGUCUCUCUAUAAAACAGAUUGUUUGUUAGCCAGUUGAUGAUGACUUCUGUGGAGUCUGUGCUGCUCUGUAAUUAUCAGGGUUGAGAAACAAGACCAAAGGUUAUGGUUUGCAGGUUAAAUAAUCCUGUAUAAAGGAUGUGCAGCCUUUGGAAUAUCCAAAAUAGUCUAGGCUUUCAAAGUAAAAUAGCAAAGGUACCAGCAACUGACUUAUUUUGGCUGAAUUUUCUUCCUCUGUUGAGCAAUAAGGUCUGUAGACCAAAAAAAAAAAAAAAUAAAUUCUGAGAGCCCCACAAGAGAGUGGCUGCCAAACAAAACAAAGGUUUCCUGUGCAAUUCUAGAGAGCCAGGCUUCAGUCAGCCUUAUGGCAAUUGCUGGAAUUUACUUACCUCUGCAUUUUGUUUGACUGGGUGUCCUUCAGGCCCACAGGGGUAACCAGUUUUAACUUUGUGAAUUAUGAAUUUUCAAUUUAGAUGGAAAAAAAUGCAAAUAGUGUUACAGAAAACCAUAUUAAAUGGUUUCAGUGAAAUGUCGUGUGGUUUACUUUUACUUUUAUGCUGCCAUUUAUUACUAAGAGCCCAAGCACAAGCACUCCCAUACUGUUGUAUUUAUAAACUAUUUCCAUGGCCAGUGCUGCAGGUUCUUCCUGUUUUGUGUCACUUGAAGCCAACUGAAUGUUAACUGAUGCAAGGGGAUUUCUGGGUAUCCCUCUUUCAUGAUGUUGUAACAAGAAGUGUUUUGUUCCCUACUAGCAGACCUUCCUAGCUGGCUCUGGUGGGCGGGUAUUUGGGACCAGCUGCUUUGUUGUACAUGUGUUGGUGUACUGAGAAAGAUUUCUCACCUGCUUAUCCCCUGUGUUGUGGGUGUAAGUCUCUUCUGGGUUUGUGCAGGAGUUGUGGUUGAGAUACCGGUGUGUGGAAGAAACUGAUGUGUAAGACAAAAUAGAAUGGAAUAAAUAUGGAAGUUCUGUGACAAACUCUUCUGUUUGAUAUGGACUCAUCAACAAAAAUAUUUUUCUCUGCAACAUACUAUCUGCACUUCAAUUGUAAGCUAUUUGCUUCUCAGGCUAAGUUUCCCAGGCUAUUUGCUGCCUGGGAAGUCCAAGGGAAAUAAAUGUUUUAUGCUUACUUUGUCACACUUUAGAUUAAACAGCCUUUCAGUGUAGAACCUCCUUUGACCCAGGAUGCCCUGAUGUCAAAAACACAGUCCCCUGAAACUAAAUUGGAAUAAUCUUGAAACAAAAUCACUGAAGCUUUAAUUUCCUCUUUUAUUUGUGGAUGCAUAUGGAAUAAUAAUUUUGCUUCAUAAUUUCAAGCUGAAAGAUAGCUUUUCACAUCUAUCAAGAUUUUCCUUCAAAUGCAUUUAAUCUUUUAUGCUUGAUUCCUGAGAGGCACAUUAAUAUUAGGAACAGGAGAAUGAAAAAGGACCAAGGGCAGAGGAAAAUUUUAAAAAAUUGAUUAGUUUUUUGUCUUUGUGUGACUUUGAAAGCUAGAGGACAGCUGAGUAUUCCAGCAGCAAAAGAAGCAGGAGGCAUAUAUAAAAAAUACAGGAGGCAGUGCAGGAGAGUCAAGACAAAGAAGCAAGGUAGUGUGAAAAUAGAAAUAUCAAGUUUUUCUUUUAACAAUAUUGAAAGGCAGUAAGUGAACAGAGCAUAUAUUGAGGGGACAAAUCUCAGUGUGAUGUUACAGCUUUCUGACUUGUUAAGCACACCAGGAAUUUGUAGAAA